rnacentral:rRNA from 1 species
ACGCUCGACACCUACGGAAGGCAGCAGUGGGGGAUAUUGCACAAUGGGGGAAACCCUGAUGCAGCAACGCCGCGUGAAGGAAGAAGGUCUUCGGAUUGUAAACUUCUUUUGUCAGGGACGAUAAUGACGGUACCUGACGAAUAAGCCACGGCUAACUACGUGCCAGCAGCCGCGGUAAUCUGAGCGGGCUGGCAAGGC